ensembl:lncRNA
AUGCAUUUUACUCUCUUUAUUGUAUUGAAUAAAUUCUUAGAAGGUGAUGGAGAAGAGGUGCAUGAAGUCACUGAAGCAGAGAAGGCCACGGAAGAAGCUGAUGCAGCAGCUGCUGUUGGACCUGCAGCACAGGAUGAGAGUGCUGGACCCAGAGUAGAGGAUGAGACUUCUGGGGUAUCCCCAGAAGCUGGAGGGGAGCAUGACUUACUGGCUCCAGAAGUAUCCCAUGCUAUGGAGGAAGCACAGCAGGAAGCUGUUGCUAACUCAGAAGCUGCUGCUAAUUUGGAGCUUGCUGCUAAUUCAGAAGCUGCUGCAGUUCAAGUUUCUGAGGAGGAGAAGACAACUGAAGAAGUUGCUAAAGAGCCCUAAAGUAAGCAGUGUGGACACCUUUGGAAAGUUUAAUGCAAAUAUUUGUGGCAACCAACCAGCUGAUUCCAGUGUGAAACCUCAUCCUCUUCCUUGAAGACAUAAAAGAAACUCUGCAGUUUGUCCCACCACACAUUGGCCAUUAUGGCCAGUAUUCAGUGCUGCAAGAGAUGAUUUGCGUUGCCUAGAGAAACGCUUCUGUGACUAACAACUCUGCUGUAGAGAGUAGCAUCCAGUCAAGCCACUCAGCAUGUCCUAAAUACAUGGCUAAGAGAAGCAGUAGACUUAACUAAACCAUGCCAUAUGAACUCCUUCUAUGUCUUUGUUGUCCUGCUGUGUACAUUGAUUCCUUACUUUUGGUCCAAACUAUCGUGUGUAGUUAUACCUUUGUAACAUUCCAUGCUAAAAUGUAAACAAAAGGUUGUAAAAUCAAGUCAAAAUAUUACAAAACUACCUGUUAGCAUUUUAAAAUUGGAUCACAGGAAAAAUAACGUGUUUGCUCCUGAGUUUGGAUUUGUGAUUGUAAGCAUAGGACAUCUGGCUGCGCAUGACCUAAUUUUCCCCCUGCAUAAAUAUUUCAGAUCCUACCACUCCUUGCACAGUAACAUCCAGGAGUAAACAUUUUAAGGCUCCUGCUUUGGGAAGAAAACCUGUUUGCAAGUAGUAGCCAUAGGUACUUCAUAAGUGGUGGCUGGCUCCUGCCUUGGGUGUGCUGGGCUCUGCUCCUCCCAAAUCUCAUUCAACUUUCUGUGGUCUUUCUGUGUUGCUCUGUCUUGGCAGUGGCAUGUACUGGUAGUGUAACAACAUGAAAGUUUGGUAGAAACUUUCAAACUGGUACAAAUCACAAGCCCUUUAGGCCAUGGCAAAGCAUGUCUCUAACCACUUGCACACAGAGAGCAAAAUCCCUGUGAAGGACUGUGGAACAGGUGUUCAAAUGAACAGGCAUUCUUAGGGACUAAGAAAGAUCGAAACAGCUAAAUAGCCUUGCUUUCUCAGUAUUAGCUUCAUAAAAAUUACAUUUAUUAUGAAUAACAGGUUUGGAUGCCACUGUGCUCCCAACCCUCAUGUGCUACAUGCACGAGCAUGCAUCUGAGACCCCAUUUCAGCCAUCACAGAAUGGCAAUGAUUCUAUACCAUAGCCAAAUAAGGUAUAUCAUGUACUAUUUAUAUAGAAAGUGUGUUGCAUAAGGUGUGUCUGACUCUUUUCUCUUCAAGAAGAAGUUUGGAAAAUGUUGAAAGGGAAACGACAGCAUUAUGACAUUCCUACCCACAGCACAAAGCAACACAUGCUCCUUCCCCCAUCAUGAAGCAAAUUAUAAUAGUGUUCCAACAAAGAUAUAGCCUGUUGCUCCUGGACCUACUUAGGAAUAACUGGAAUAAUGCAAAGGCAAAAGCAGGUUCCUGAGCUUCAAGAAGACAAACCACAGCCUUCUGCUUAAAGGAUAAAGCCUCUGUGAUUAAAAGCAAUUUUUGUAGACCAAGCUACUGGAAUAAAAAUCUUAGACUGAUAUUUUGUUGGAUAAGA